rnacentral:rRNA from 1 species
UGGGGAAUUUUGCGCAAUGGGCGAAAGCCUGACGCAGCAACGCCGCGUGGGUGAUGAAGGUCUUCGGAUCGUAAAACCCUGUCGUCAGGGACGAAGGUCGGGGAGUGAACAGCUCUUUGACUUGACGGUACCUGGAGAGGAAGCCCCGGCUAACUCUGUGCCAGCAGCCGCGGUAAUACAGAGGGGGCAAGCGUUAUUCGGAAGUAUUGGGCGUAACGGGCGCGUAGGCGGUUUGUUAAGUGGGAUGUGCAAUCCCCGGGCUUAACCUGGGAACUGCAUCUCAGACUGGCAGGCUAGAGUGCUGGAGAGGGUGGUGGAAUUCCACGUGUAGCGGUGAAAUGCGUAGAGAUGUGGAGGAACACCAGUGGCGAAGGCGGCCACCUGGACAGUAACUGACGCUGAGGCGCGAAAGUGUGGGUAGCAAACA